UUGUCUUACUGCUAUAACAGGGCUGGGGAUUGCAGUAUCCGCUGUUGCUGCUGCUCCCAGUCUUGCCCCUGCUGCUACCUAGUCCUGCCUCACUGCAUCCCAGAAGAGCCACGUCGGCCUGCCUUUCCCUAUUGGAUUUUCAAAAGCAGCUCUUCGGGUGUUGGUGCUGUAGGAGACCUUGCUUUUCAAUCACACGGGAGAACACUGAAGCUUGUAAGAGGAGAAUCUGGCAGCUGGACACAGCUUGGACUGCAUUGUCUGUCUUCAUGACCUCUGCUGUGUAGCAGCUCAUCUCUCUGCUCUCACACGUACACUCUCCUCGAUUUUUUCUUCCUUCCUUUCUUUUUUCCAUUCUUCUAAUUUUUUAAAAGCAGCCUCUGGAGCCAGCCAUGUUUGGCACUGAAUCAUCAUUGAGCAUGUUUUUGAACACGUUAACACCGAAGUUCUACGUGGCCCUGACAGGCACUUCCUCACUAAUAUCAGGGCUUAUUUUGAUAUUUGAAUGGUGGUACUUUCGCAAGUAUGGAACAUCAUUCAUUGAACAAGUCUCCGUAAGCCACUUGCGCCCCCUUCUGGGAGGGGUUGACAACAACUCCUCCAACAAUUCUAACUCGAGUAAUGGGGACUCAGAUUCCAACAGGCAAAGCGUCUCAGAAUGCAAAGUAUGGCGAAAUCCACUAAAUUUAUUUAGGGGCGCUGAAUAUAAUCGGUACACUUGGGUGACAGGACGAGAGCCUCUGACUUACUAUGACAUGAAUCUCUCUGCCCAGGACCACCAGACAUUCUUUACUUGUGACUCGGACCAUCUGCGUCCCGCAGAUGCAAUAAUGCAGAAAGCCUGGAGAGAGAGAAACCCCCAAGCUAGGAUUUCUGCAGCUCAUGAAGCCUUAGAGAUAAAUGAAAUUAGGUCCAGAGUUGAAGUUCCCUUAAUUGCUUCCUCUACCAUCUGGGAGAUAAAAUUGUUACCAAAGUGUGCAACUGCCUAUAUUCUCCUGGCUGAAGAGGAAGCAACAACCAUUGCUGAAGCAGAAAAGCUGUUUAAGCAGGCCCUGAAAGCUGGAGACGGCUGUUACCGGCGUUCUCAGCAGCUACAGCAUCAUGGAUCCCAGUAUGAAGCCCAACAUAGACGAGACACCAAUGUCUUGGUCUACAUCAAAAGAAGGCUUGCAAUGUGUGCCAGAAGACUCGGGAGGACCAGGGAAGCAGUGAAAAUGAUGAGAGAUUUAAUGAAGGAAUUCCCCCUCCUGAGCAUGUUCAACAUCCAUGAAAACCUUUUAGAAGCCCUCCUGGAACUGCAAGCAUAUGCUGAUGUUCAGGCAGUCUUAGCAAAGUAUGACGAUAUAAGCUUACCAAAGUCGGCAACAAUAUGCUACACAGCUGCCUUGCUCAAAGCAAGAGCUGUCUCUGACAAAUUCUCUCCUGAGGCUGCAUCUCGGCGGGGGCUGAGCACAGCAGAGAUGAAUGCAGUGGAGGCCAUCCACAGAGCUGUGGAAUUCAAUCCUCACGUGCCAAAAUACCUACUUGAAAUGAAAAGCUUAAUCCUUCCCCCAGAACAUAUCCUGAAGAGAGGGGACAGUGAAGCGAUAGCGUAUGCGUUCUUUCAUCUGGCGCACUGGAAGAGGGUGGAAGGGGCCCUGAACCUUCUGCACUGUACGUGGGAAGGCACUUUUCGGAUGAUCCCCUAUCCCUUGGAAAAGGGGCAUCUAUUUUACCCUUACCCAAUCUGUACGGAAACAGCAGACCGUGAGCUGCUUCCAUCUUUCCAUGAAGUCUCAGUUUACCCCAAAAAGGAGCUUCCCUUCUUUAUUCUCUUCACUGCUGGACUGUGCUCCUUCACAGCCAUGCUGGCCCUCCUGACACAUCAGUUCCCGGAACUUAUGGGGGUCUUCGCAAAAGCUAAUCCGGAAUCUGUCCCCACGAGCGUUAAAAUAGGCAGUGUGAGGGGAUAGCACCACGCCAAAUCUCCGUCACAGCUGGACUUCUGCCGGCUCCUGGUCUUCAUCCAAGAGCAAAGUCAAGUAGGCAGCUUGUCUCCUGUUAUGUCCAGCUGCAGUCCAUUUCACAGCCCCUCGGAUCCUCGGCCUUGAAGCAUGUGACCGACCCAUCUUAGGAAGAAAAACUUUGGAAUUGAAAACCGCCGUUGACCACUAUCAAAAGGCAAGCUAACUUCAGGUCAGGGGCCCAGUGGUGAACUGACAGUUUAAGUUCCUGCCAUCAUGGAAUCACAAUCCAGUGGGACAGACAGACUCAGUUUCCAACCAACGCUAGAGGAGAACCAAGUGUAUGGAAAUGUUCAUCGUUCGAGAAAGUCGGUCCCACAAGUUUCUGCAGCAGUGCCCUUGGGACGUGAGGCAGCCAAUGCAGGACAAGCAACAUGCUGCAGACCGCAGUCUUGGAAGAGAAGAACCGGGUUCUGGAGGGUGUUGCAGCACUGCUUGAAUGGACCCAUCUUGGCCCUGCCCUGCCUCCAGACUUCUUGUGAUCCAAGACGUUAAGUUUUCCAUGUUAUUUAGUGUUCCCAGGAUCUGUUACUUAUAACAAAGUCUUUCCACUGGAACUAUGGUCAGUUCUUGAUUGUGGGUUAAUCACAGAGUAAGAAAUGGGGUGGAGAAACUCACAAUGAGGAUUCCUGGUCUAGAAAAAUACCAACAUUCAAAUGUUAUAAAGCAUUAUAAUAAUAACCCCCACAUAUUGAGUACUGCACUAUGUGCCAGGAUCUGCACAUUAUCUUAUCUAACUGCCACAAUUAGAUAAAGUGGUUUCUUAUUCCCAUUCUGCAGGGCUCAGGGAGGAAAGUAAAAUCCCCAGAGUCCCCCAGCUAGACAGAGGCAGACUCAGAUGUGAAUCAGAUUUGUCUCAUUCCCAGAUCUGUGCUCUUCCUAAAAACACAUUUGAAAUCUUCACUCAAUCUCAUUAUGCUUUUCUCAAAUUUUGAUUUGUGCAUACUUUACUUCCCUCCAUUCUUUUGAGUAAAUCAAGAAUUAAAUUAAAAAAAAGACAAACAAAUUUAAAAAGAAUUAAAUGGAUAAUAUUCUAAAUCUAUUAUAAUGGGGGGGGGAGGUAGAGAGAGAAAUAGGGAGGAUUUCCAUUGCAUCUUCCAAACUGUCCUCAAAAUUUAUUCAACAGGCCAUUCACAGAAGAAAUAUGAAGUCCUAACAAAGAGACAGAAAGAUGUUCAACCUCACAGUAAUCAGAGAAAUGAAAACUGAAACAAGGCAAUACCAUUUUUUAUUUUGCCUAGCAGAUUAGCAAAUGGUAAAAAGAUUAAUAACGUGAUGAUAUUUGGUGUUGGUAAGAGUGUGGGAAGGGGACGCUUUAACAAACUUGGUGUGAAAAUAAAUUGAUCACACCAUUUAAUUGGAGAGCAUUUUUGCAAUACCUGUCAAAAUUUUAAAUGUACGUAUCCUUUGACCUUGGUAAUUCCACUCUGAAAA